rnacentral:rRNA from 1 species
AUUGAACGCUGGCGGCAGGCCUAACACAUGCAAGUCGAGCGAGAGGCGGAGGGGUGAGUAAUGUAUGGGAAAGUGUCUGAGGGAGGGGUAUAAAUAGUGGAAACGGUAUAUAACAGCACAAAACAUCAGAUGUGCCCAGAUGGGUUUAGCUAGUAGGUGGGGUAACGGCUCAUCUAGGCGACGAUCCCUAGCUGGUCUGAGAAGGUGAACAGCCACACUGUAACUGAGACACGGUCCAGACUCCUACGGGAGGCAGCAGUGGGGAAUAUUGCACAAGGGGCGCAAGCCGGAUGCAGCCAUGCCGCGUGUGUGAAGAAGGCCUUCGGGUUGUAAAGCACUUUCAGCGGGGAGGCGUUACUGGCAGAAGAAGCACCGGCUAACUCCGUGCCAGCAGCCGCGGUAAUAG